UUUAUAUAUUGUUCAUGAAAAGUAAUUAUCUUCAAGGAUAGAAACAUCUGUAUAUGAUCAGGGUUGUUACAGAAAUAUAUUACUGUGGGUUCAUUAUUAUUGGUUGGAUACCAAUUUUUGUUGAUUUUGUGGUUACAGGUGAAUGAUGAAUUUAAAUGAUCAAAGAAGUACAGAUUUUCUAUAGGCUUGUAUGCAGACCCUAACAAUUCCAAGAAAUCAAAUGCAAAAAAAGAAA
rnacentral:lncRNA from 1 species